GUACUAAAGCGUGACAGUGUUGUCCUUUUCUAAUUCGAGUAGAAAACAUACAUAUGGUGCGUGUAGCUAACCGAGUAGAAAACGUAACGUGAGCAAAAAACAACAACAUUACUUUAUUCUAAAGGCUUGGUUAUGUUGUCGAUUGACAAUAUUUUUGCGAUUAAGGGGGCUAUCAAGUAGGAAUCAUCUUUUAAAUUUUGACAUUUUUGACGUUUUGGAUAAAUUUAUUUUAGAAAAAGAUAAAGAAAAAAAUCACGGGGUCUGUCACAAUUACCUUUCAUUGGCUAGAAUUUUUUCAGAGAUUUAUUGAUUUUUUAUCCGAAAAAAUUCGACAACUGUCAGUCUGACGUUUCUUUUGUGUCAUCGAAAUUGAUCGUCUAACAAAAGUGCUCGAAAUUCUUUUAUAAUCGAUCGUAAUUUAUUUAAAAGUGUUCAAGUUGAAUGUGUUGUGUCUAUUUUUUGUGUUUUGGUGAGUGCCGAUGGAAUUUUUAAUAAAUUUUGAGGGUCCAAGUGUGGCCAGUGACGGAAGCAGCGGCCAGAGACGGCGAUACAAUUUUCGAUAAAAUGCACACUAUCCGAUCUAAAAUCGGUAGGUGGUGGUUUGUGAAACGUUGUUCAAGACUCGAAAGCCCUCAUAUAAACGAAAUUUCGCCAAAAAAUGUGAAAUUUGAGGUAACCUGUCAGGUGAGAAAAAUUUCUCUGAAAAAUCCAGAGACGUGGUGAUUUUAGUUGAGAACUGUCUCAGUCUGACGUUUUUUUCGUCAUCGAAAUUUUUUGUGUAAUAAACUGCAACAAUCGGUCGUGAUUUAUUUAAAAGUGAUCAAGUUGAAUGUGUUGUGUCUAUUUUUUCCAUUUUUUCAAUUUUUAACAAAUUGUGUGGGUUUCAGUGACGGAUAUCGAUAUCGACAUAUUUGUGUCUAAAAUCAGUUUAUCUACACAAGAAAUGAUGGAGAUAAUGCAUGAACAUACGCCAAAAACAGUGUUAAAGGGUCCCGAAUGAUUUAAAAGGACUAAAAGUGCAUUACUGUGAUAUUUUUUAUAAGUGAUUAUUCCAAAUUUGUGAAUUUUGCGUUGUUAAUAGUGAAUAAUGCAUAACCUCAAAAAUUCAUACUUACUAAUUCUCCAAGAGGUAGGUUGAAGCCCCAACAGCCCCCUAACUAAUGAAUUUGUCGAAAUAAAUGUACAAAUUACAAGAUUAGAUACGAAGAAUUCCGAAAGAAGAAGAUCAAUUUUUUUAAUGUGAUAUUUUGAGCUCAAUGAUUUUACAACUGGAAAUGGACAAGUGCUUCAGCAUAAAGUGUCACUGGAAACCCAAAAGCUUUGAAAAAUCUUAGGAAUUUUGAACUAUAUCAGUUGGCGAUUCUGUUAGUUUGAUUGUUUGACAGUUGAUGUCAACAAUGAAAUAAAAAUAUUGUGAAAAACGAUCAUCUACGAAUUAAAAGUGUGAAGUCGUGUAAUUACUGAUUAUUUAUUGUGAUUUUGUGAAACCGAUAAGUGUUUUUUCUGUGUUUUUCGGGUUCUGUGCAUGUGGGCAUGUUUAAAAAGUUUUUUACGGUGAAUUUUAAAUAAGUAAGUGCUUAAGCACAGAGUAUGGUUUGAAGUGAAAACUAUUUCUAAAGUUGGACUAUUUACUGCCUGUCAAGAUUUGSUUGAGGAAAAAAUUGUUUUUGUACAAACAGAUGGAAAUUAAAAUGAAGAUUCUAUUUUCAUAUCGAGGACGUAAAUAAAGGCAAGUGGUACACCAACGUUGGAACAAAAACUGUUUGAAAAUCAUUCAAAACGGCUUAGAAUGAUGGAUCAUGUAGCAAAAGGUUUUGCAUUGUACUUGAAAAUUAUGUUUAUGUAACAAGAGGCCUUUUAUAUUCAGAAGAAUUGAAAAAAAGAUAAUGCAAUGGGAAUAAAAGGAAAUGGAAUGACUGUGACAAACACUACCCUAUGAUUUAAGAGUGCAAAUUAAUUACUGAUUACUACUCAUGGUGAACUUUUUAUUCUUUUAGGAAGGUUAGUGUUAUUAAAACAAAUAGAAUACAAGUAAUAGUGAAUGUUUUACUACUCAUGGUGAACUUUUUAUUCUUUUAGGAAGGUUUCACAAAUUGUAUGUGAAGUCAUUGAAUUAGUGUUUCAAAGUACGUUUGCAAAAAUUAAACUUUUUUUAUUUAAAAGAGGACAAAACACGAUGAAAUGUUGGUGAUAAAUAAUUAGUAAUGAAUUAAAAGGACGCGAGRAGGAUUUAUGAUCGAGAAAUUGUUGUGUUUCUGCAACAAGAUGGAAAAGUGUUUUUAAGAAUUUUUAAUUUUUUUUCGAAAAUUCCAUACACACAUAGAUAGUGUAAGUAUUUAAAGAGCAAAUUUUUUGUAAAUUACAGAUCAUGUGGAUAAUAUUUGACAGUUGAUAUCAACAAAGCAAUGCUACAGGAACCAAAUAUUGUGACAAACAAUUUUAAAAUACAAAGGAGUUGUUGUGACUGAUUAUUGUAAAAGGGGCAGGUGUUUUUUCUAUAUUUAAUACACUUUAUGUAAGAGUGCAGUAAUGAACAGUGAAUUUCGUCCACUCUUUUUGCGUGAAUUAUAUAGUCUAUGCUUUUUUAUCAUGAUAACUGACAUUUAAAUACGUGCUGUUAAAUUUUUAUUCAUUUUGGACCAGAUUUUCAAUCAUACUUGAUACCAUACUUCAAGCAAUGUAAAACAAAGCACAGAUAAAAAAUAGCAAGGAACAUCGAACAUUCUAUUAAUAUGAUAAACGUUAAACAAAAUCAAGGUUAAAAAAAAUCUAAAGACUAAUUUACACUUUUAGUCUGUCAUGGAAAUUGGACCGACAAAAUUCACUGUUUGUUACUGUACGCCUCAGAAUGUUUCUUUUUUUGUGAUUUAAGUAAGUGCAAACAUAGAUUAUCGUUUAAAGUUUAUAGUAUUUUAUUUAUUAUAAAUUUAUUUAUAAUUAUUUAUAAUAUUUAGCAUAAAUAUGAAAAAAAUUGGGAAAUUUUAAUUGUCAGUAUGUAAAGUUUAAUUUGGUGAUAAAAUUGUGUUUGUACAAACAAGUAGAAUCGUAUAUGUACUUCUAUUAAGGACGUCUAUUCAAGUAUUUAUAGAAAUUUAGUUUAUACCUUAGAAAUGAUUAUGUUGUAAAUUUUAGUUGUGUGAUUGAUUAUUUAGUCAGUUAAACAUCYACAUAAGAUGUAGUUUAAAUUUGAUAGUUAUUCAAAAGAUUCUAGAAAGAUGAGUCAGGUGAAAAUUCUGCUUUUAAAUGAUUGUAUUAUGUUUAUUUUUAAAUAAUUGUAUUUUAUGUCUUUUUUAAA